rnacentral:rRNA from 1 species
GAGCUAGAGAAAAGUAGGGCGGGACACGUGUAAUCCUGUCUGAAUAUGGGGGGACCAUCCUCCAAGGCUAAAUACUCGUAAUCGACCGAUAGUGAACCAGUACCGUGAGGGAAAGGCGAAAAGAACCCCGGGAGGGGAGUGAAAUAGAUCCUGAAACCGCAUGCAUACAAACAGUGGGAGCCCCUUCGUGGGGUGACUGCGUACCUUUUGUAUAAUGGGUCAGCGACUUACGUUAUGUUGCGAGCUUAACCGAGUAGGGAAGGCGUAGGGAAACCGAGUCUGAUAAGGGCGUUAAGUAGCAUGGCGUAGACCCGAAACCGGAUGAUCUAUCCAUGGCCAGGAUGAAGGUGCGGUAACACGCACUGGAGGUCCGAACCCACUAACGUUGAAAAGUUAGGGGAUGAGCUGUGGAUAGGGGUGAAAGGCUAAACAAAUCCGGAAAUAGCUGGUUCUCUCCGAAAACUAUUUAGGUAGUGCCUCAAGUAUCACCUACGGGGGUAAAGCACUGUAAUGGUUGAAGGGGUCAUCGCGACUUACUUCGCCAUAGCAAACUCUGAAUACCGUAGAGUGCGAGCUUGGGAGACAGACAUCGGGUGCUAACGUCCGGUGUCAAGAGGGAAACAACCCAGACCGCCGAUUAAGGUCCCAAAGACAUAGUUAAGUGGGAAACGAGGUGGGAAGGCUCAGACAGCCAGGAGGUUGGCUUAGAAGCAGCCAUCCUUUAAAGAAAGCGUAAUAGCUCACUGGUCGAGUCGUCCUGCGCGGAAGAUGUAACGGGGCUCAAACUAUGCACCGAAAUCGCGGAUAUCCGUUGGAUAUGGUAGGAGAGCGUUCUGUAGGCCGUUGAAGGUGUCUCGUGAGGGAUGCUGGAGGUAUCAGAAGUGCGAAUGCUGACAUGAGUAGCGAUAAAGGGAGUGAAAAGCUCCCUCGCCGAAAGCCCAAGGUUUCCUGCGCAACGUUCAUCGGCGCAGGGUGAGUCGGCCCCUAAGGCGAGGCUGAAAAGCGUAGUCGAUG